CAAAGGCUUGGUCCUGACUUUACUGUCCGCUUUAGCUAAACUUACACAUGCAAGUAUCCGCACCCCCGUGAGAAUGCCCUAAUUUCCCGCCCGGAAACAAGGAGCCGGUAUCAGGCACGGCUACCGCCAGCCCAUGACACCUUGCUUAGCCACACCCUCAAGGGACAUCAGCAGUGAUUGACAUUAAGCCAUGAGUGAAAACUUGACUUAGUUAAAGCUAUGAGGGCCGGUAAAACUCGUGCCAGCCACCGCGGUUAUACGAGAGGCCCAAGUCGACAGACAACGGCGUAAAGAGUGGUUAGGGAGACUUUUAAACUAAAGCCGAACAUCCUCAGAGCUGUUUAACGCUUCCGAGUUAAGAAGCCCCACUACGAAAGUAGCUUUACCCAACCUGACCCCACGAAAGCUGUGAAACAAACUGGGAUUAGAUACCCCACUAUGCUCAGCCCUAAAAUUUGAUAGGCCCCUACGCCCCCUAUCCGCCCGGGUACUACGAGCAUCAGCUUGAAACCCAAAGGACUUGGCGGUGCUUCACAUCCGUCUAGAGGAGCCUGUUCUAGAACCGAUAACCCCCGUUAAACCUCACCCUCCCUUGUUAAUACCGCCUAUAUACCGCCGUCGUCAGCCUACCCUGUGAAGGACUAGAAGUGAGCAAAAUUGGUAAAACCCAAAACGUCAGGUCGAGGUGUAGUGUAUGGGAGGGGAAGAAAUGGGCUACAUUUCCUAGAUCAGGAAAUACGAAUAAUGAACUGAAACAAGCAUUAGAAGGUGGAUUUAGCAGUAAGCAGAAAAACAGAGUGUUUCGCUGAAGAUUACGGCAAUAAAGCAUGCACACACCGCCCGU
rnacentral:ncRNA from 1 species